AGACUCUGGCUUCCUUGCACAUCGAGUAAAUCUUUCGCCUUUUACUAAAGAUUUCCGUGCAAAGGAGCAAUUUAAUGAGUCUAAAACCAAAUUUGCCGAGACGUUGAGUUGAUCUAGACGG
rfam:Biomphalaria glabrata isolate BB02 unplaced genomic scaffold LGTN_random_Scaffold8078, whole genome shotgun sequence.